ensembl:snoRNA
ACCCAGAGUGUUGAGUUCAGUUCAGGGCUGCUGUCCCUGUUCUGGUAAUUAAACUUUGGGACAGUGAGUGGCUGGGAGUCAUGUCAAGAUGAUGGGAAGCUUUGCUUUCUGCCACUUCCGUCACUCAGCCCACAAAA